UACGUAGGGUGCAAGCGUUGUCCGGAAUUAUUGGGCGUAAAGAGCUCGUAGGCGGUCUGUCGCGUCGGCUGUGAAAACUUGGGGCUCAACCCCAAGCCUGCAGUCGAUACGGGCAGACUAGAGUGCGGUAGGGGAGAUUGGAACUCCUGGUGUAGCGGUGGAAUGCGCAGAUAUCAGGAAGAACACCGAUGGCGAAGGCAGAUCUCUGGGCCGUAACUGACGCUGAGGAGCGAAAGCAUGGGGAGCGAACAGG
rnacentral:rRNA from 1 species